GCCACGGUGGUCUAGCGGUUAGAACGCUGGCCUUGUAAUCCUGGGGUCUCGGGUUCGAUUCCCGACAGUGCCC
rnacentral:tRNA from 1 species